UUGCACGCUGGCGGCAUGCUUUACACCUGCAAGUCGAACGGUAACAGGCCGCAAGGUGCUGACGAGUGGCGAACGGGUGAGUAAUGCAUCGGAACGUGCCCAGCCGUGGGGGAUAACUACUCGAAAGAGUAGCUAAUACCGCAUACGAUCUAUGGAUGAAAGCGGGGGACCGUAAGGCCUCGCGCGAUUGGAGCGGCCGAUGUCAGAUUAGGUAGUUGGUGGGGUAAAGGCUCACCAAGCCAACGAUCUGUAGCUGGUCUGAGAGGACGACCAGCCACACUGGGACUGAGACACGGCCCAGACUCCUACGGGAGGCAGCAGUGGGGAAUUUUGGACAAUGGGCGCAAGCCUGAUCCAGCAAUGCCGCGUGCAGGAAGAAGGCCUUCGGGUUGUAAACUGCUUUUGUACGGAACGAAACGGCUCUGGUUAAUACCCGGGGCUAAUGACGGUACCGUAAGAAUAAGCACCGGCUAACUACGUG
rnacentral:rRNA from 1 species